rnacentral:rRNA from 1 species
AACGAACGCUGGCGGCAUGCCUAACACAUGCAAGUCGAACGAGAUCUUCGGGUCUAGUGGCGCACGGGUGCGUAACGCGUGGGAAUCUGCCCUUUGGUUCGGAAUAACAGUUGGAAACGACUGCUAAUACCGGAUGAUGACGAAAGUCCAAAGAUUUAUCGCCAGAGGAUGAGCCCGCGUAGGAUUAGCUAGUUGGUGUGGUAAAGGCGAACCAAGGCGACGAUCCUUAGCUGGUCUGAGAGGAUGAUCAGCCACACUGGUACUGAGACACGGCCCAGACUCCUACGGGAGGCAGCAGUGGGGAAUAUUGGACAAUGGGCGAAAGCCUGAUCCAGCAAUGCCGCGUGAGUGAUGAAGGCCUUAGGGUUGUAAAGCUCUUUUACCCGGGAUGAUAAUGACAGUACCGGGAGAAUAAGCUCCGGCUAACUCCGUGCCAGCAGCCGCCGCGG